rnacentral:tRNA from 1 species
AAGGAUGUAGCUUAGUGGCACAGCACCUGCCUGGUAAGCACAAGGGUGUGAGUUCGAUUUCCAGUACCCUUC